CCUACGGGCGGCAGCAGUGAGGAAUAUUGGUCAAUGGCCGGAAGGCUGAACCAGCCAUGCCGCGUGAAGGUCAGUGCCCUAUGGGCGUUAAACUUCUUUUGUGCGGGAGCAAUAAUGGUCACGUGUGGCCAGACGAGAGUACCGUACGAAUAAGCAUCGGCUAACUCCGUGCCAGCAGCCGCGGUAAUACUGGGGAGGCAAGCGUUAUCCGGAUUAAUUGGGUUUAAAGGGUGCGUAGGCUGUGAGGUAAGUCAGCGGUGAAAUGCCCCCGCUCAACGGGGUGAAGUGCCAUUGAUACUGCCGUGCUGGAAUGCGGAUGACGUGGGAGGAAUGUGUGGUGUAGCGGUGAAAUGCAUAGAUAUCACACAGAACACCGAUUGCGAAGGCAUCUCACGAAUCCGAGAUUGACGCUGAUGCACGAAAGCGUGGGUAUCAAACAGGAUUAGAUACCCGAGUAGUC
rnacentral:rRNA from 1 species